UUACUUAUAACUUGGAACAAGAGCGGGCUUAGGAAAAAAAACAAGUACAAAUGACAGUUUGCGUUGAUCAAAGGAUCAGUGUUUUGAAUGCACUGCUCUGCUAGCUGUUUACUAGAAAAAGAGGAGGGAUCCUUUGCUAUUCUAAUAAGGAAAGGAGGAUUAAAGAUCAGAAAAAGCAAUGAAAUGUCUCGACGGCUAUUGUCCU